UACGUAGGGUGCGAGCGUUAAUCGGAAUUACUGGGCGUAAAGCGUGCGCAGCGGUUGUGCAAGACAGAUGUGAAAUCCCCGGGCUCAACCUGGGAACUGCAUUUGUGACUGCAUAGCUAGAGUACGGUAGAGGGGGAUGGAAUUCCGCGUGUAGCAGUGAAAUGCGUAGAUAUGCGGAGGAACACCGAUGGCGAAGGCAAUCCCCUGGACCUGUACUGACGCUCAUGCACGAA
rnacentral:rRNA from 1 species